UACGUAGGGUGCAAGCGUUGUCCGGAAUUACUGGGCGUAAAGCGUGCGUAGGCGGUGAGUUAAGUCUGAUGUGAAAUCCCCCGGGCUCAACCUGGGAAUGGCAUUGGAUACUGGCUCGCUAGAGUACGGUAGAGGGUGGUGGAAUUCCCGGUGUAGCAGUGAAAUGCGUAGAGAUCGGGAGGAACAUCUGUGGCGAAGGCGGCCACCUGGACCAGUACUGACGCUGAGGCACGAAAGCGUGGGAGCAAACAGG
rnacentral:rRNA from 1 species